ACAGCUUUAGUUACUUUAUAAAUUAAGAUUUUUGCACACAAAACACGUUAAUAAAAUGUGGUGUUUGAUUAUAAAUUAAACUAGCUAACAAUAUAACAGCCUACAAGUCUAGCUGAAAUGAUUAUACAUUAAACACACAAGUAACAUUUU